UUUCGAUUUAGCAAGCAGGGCCAAGAGAAAAAUUCUCCUUUCGGGGAAUUCAGAAGUUCAGACAUAGUUGAAGCGAUUUAACCCACGCUCGAUUAUAUCACUCAGCUUCCGACAUUU
rnacentral:snoRNA from 1 species